AUGCCUUAAACUAAUGAGUAAGGAAAAUAAUGAGCCUGGGUAACGACAGGCUCCAGGAUUAACAUUCCUGAAGAAUUUCUUGAGGGGUACAGGUCGCCUCCCGGUGACCCGCCUACUUUAGCGGGAUGCCGUGGAAGAUGUGAUCUGCCCG